rnacentral:rRNA from 1 species
CAGCCGCCACGGUAAUACGGAGGGAGCUAGCGUUGUUCGGAAUUACUGGGCGUAAAGCGCACGUAGGCGGUUAUUCAAGUCAGAGGUGAAAGCCCGGGGCUCAACCCCGGAACUGCCUUUGAUACUGUUUGUCUUGAGUUCGAGAGAGGUAAGUGGAACUGCGAGUGUAGAGGUGAAAUUCGUAGAUAUUCGCAAGAACACCAGUGGCGAAGGCGGCUUACUGGCUCGAAACUGACGCUGAGGCGCGAAAGCGUGGGGAGCAAACAGGAUUAGAUACCCCAGUAGUCCCUGUCUCUUAUAC